rnacentral:rRNA from 1 species
UACGUAGGGUGCGAGCGUUGUCCGGAAUUACUGGGCGUAAAGAGCUCGUAGGCGGUUUGUCGCGUCUGCUGUGAAAUCUGGGGGCUCAACCCCCAGCCUGCAGUGGGUACGGGCAGACUAGAGUGCGGUAGGGGAGAUUGGAAUUCCUGGUGUAGCGGUGGAAUGCGCAGAUAUCAGGAGGAACACCGAUGGCGAAGGCAGAUCUCUGGGCCGUAACUGACGCUGAGGAGCGAAAGCACGGGGAGCGAACAGG